rnacentral:rRNA from 1 species
CUGGAAUUCUGGUGUAGCGGUGAAAUGCGCAGAUAUCAGGAGGAACACCGAUGGCGAAGGCAGGUCUCUGGGCCGUAACUGACGGUGAGGAGGGAAAGCAUGGGGAGCGAACAGGAUUAGAUACCUUGGUAGUGCAUGCCGUGAACGUUGGGCAUUAGGUGUGGGGGACAUUACACGUUUUGCGCGCAGUAGCUAACGCAUUAAGUGCCCCGCGUGGGGAGUACGGCGGCAAGGCUAAAACUCAAAGGAAUUGAGGGGGGCCCGCACAAGCGGCGGAGCAUGCGGAUUAAUUCGAUGCAACGGGAAGAACCUUACCAAGGCUUGACAUGAACCGGUAAUACCUGGAAACAGGUGCCCCGCUUGCGGUCGGUUUACAGGUGGUGCAUGGUUGUCGUCAGCUCGUGUCGUGAGAUGUUGGGUUAAGUCCCGCAACGAGCGCAACCCUCUUUCUAUGUUGCCAGCGGUUCGGCCGGGGACUCAUAGGAGACUGCCGGGGUCAACUCGGAGGAAGGUGGGGACGACGUCAAAUCAUCAUGCCCCUUAUGUCUUGGGCUUCACGCAUGCUACAAUGGCCGGUACAAAGGGUUGCGAUACUGUGAGGUGGAGCUAAUCCCAAAAAGCCGGUUUCAGUUCGGAUUGGGGUUUGCAACUCGACCCCAUGAAGUUGGAGUCGCUUGUAAUCGCAGAUCAGCAACGCUGCGGUGAAUACGUUCCCGGGCCUUGUACACACCGCCCGUCAAGUCACGAAAGUUGGUAACACCCGAAGCC